CACAACGUGAAACAAGAUGACGGGGUUUAUGUCAUCAGGAAAUUUAUUGCCUGAAAAUACAAAGAAAACCCGCCCAAAGAAGUUUUGCAGACCAAGUAUCUGAAAGGAAAGCACUGCCCCUUGUUCCUUUGUGCUUGCUGAGACAAUUGAGAUAUUGUUAUUGGAUGCAGUUGCACGCUCCAAACCCUGGCACUUCUCUCUUCUCCAGCAUCUCUGAAGAAAUUUUAACAGAGCUUUAAACCUUGAUCUCACUUCCUUAACCUAUUUGUAUUUCCCAGUGAUGGAAAAUAGUCAAAACAAACAACUAUACAAGCACCGCCUCCAAAAACCAUGAUAACAAAAAACGGAAACAAACUGAAACCCUUUGACCGAAAAGGCAAAAGGCAAAGCAGAACAAAACAAAACCGAGAUACUUAUCUAUAUGGUGCAGUCUACCUAAAUUCAAAAUCUGUUUCUUUUGUGGCUCAUACGGAUUCUUUGUUGAAGUACUUUCAGUGCAAAGCUGAACCAAACGAAAGUGGAGUAAAUGCUCACGACCAUUAUUUCCCAUGAAAUUACUGCUGGCUUCAAAGCUUUUACCACCUCACCUUUCUGGAGAAAUUGAAUUCUAAUAGUGUCACAUCGCAGGACCUCUCGUGCCGUUUCUGGAAUCUGAAAUUGACCUGGACAUCUGUUGCUAAUUAAUAAACUGUGGAGUUUAAAAAAUAGAGGGGACUAUAAAUUAAAAAUCGAGCUACAUUCCUGACUUUGUACAUGACCAUGAGAAUGUCAAGUCUCAACUAUCCUCAGAAUUAUUGAGGAGAAAGGCCAAUGACCACAUCAAAAUAUAGUUCUUUGAGACUUUCAUCUAAACAAGAAGAAACACGUGAACUACAAUGGUCAAUAUGAGGAACAAAGACUGAUGGAAGAGGAAGCAAAAAGGCAAUGGAGGAAAUAAUUUAGGAAAUUAUGGUAUAAAAAGUAGAAAAGAGAGGUAGAAAGGAAUUAUUCAAGAAAAUAUAAAAGGGAAAGAGUCAGUAUUAGACAUUCAGAUUCAACAGAUAUUUUUGAACCUCUGUGGGCUUGCCUGUGUGCUGGGCUCUGAACAAAAUGAAAAAAGCCUCUGCUUCCAAGGAACUUAUAUUGUAGUUGUUGUGUAUCAGUUAAGAUUAGGUGGUCUAUAUGAAAAAAAAAUGUGUGAAAAGAUUUUAAAAGUCACAUUGUUUUUCUUUAACCCAAAAGAAAACUGAACUUAACCUAGUGUCGGUUAAAUUCUACCCUGAAGGCAAUUCACUGUUCAAAACAGCUGCUGUGGCCCCAGCUUCCCCAUCCAUUACCAGACAGCAAGAAAGGGGAAGAGAAAAUAAAGCAAAAGGGAAAUAUUAUCCCUUAAGGAACCAACCAUGCUAGGAGUCUCUUCCCAAAACUUUUAACUUCUAACUCAUUAGUCAGGGCUUAGUCAUGUUGAAACCUUUAACAUAUAUGGAAGAGUGGGAAAUAAAAUAUUUUUGUUGGGCAUAUCGCUGCUCCAAAUAAUACUAGUUGUUUGCUCUUAAAGCAGAAAGGGAGAAUGGAUAGCAUGUAGGGAUCCAGUUGGCUCCGCCAUGGAUAGAAAUGUGAACAAUGUGAUCUUUGAUUAUUAUUUUAUAUUUAUUUGCUUCUUAUGGUCUUCAAACCAUGGAUAUAUUUAUAAUGAUAAAAAAAAUAGAGACUUAUGUUGCCUGAGUCUAUUUUCUCCUAGUUGGCCCUAUCAGUUAUUGUUCAUCUAAAUCUACUUUUCCUUUUUUCCAUUCCCUAAGAGCUUACUUGUUUUUAGUGGAACUGGGAAAAUUGUUUAAACUCCAACGUGACUCACAGAACUACUUGCAGAUGUUGCCUUUGAACAUUUGGAGACUAAUGAGAGCUGCACACUAAUCUCAUUAGAUUAUUCACAAAUAAAAACAAUAAUUUUAUAUUCUUAAUAGUUUAAGAUCCAGAGAUUUGGCACAAGACACUGCCAAUUCAACCCCAUUUGCAGUUACUCAUACUGAGGACAUAUCUAAAUAAGUUCCAGAAGCACCUUAAAGUUUCAAUCCCAUUAUAAUUCCUGUGGCUAAUUACUGGUGGCAGAAGGACUGAGUUUCUCUUUCACAUAUUAGUUUUGGAAAGUUAAACUCUGUUAGAGUACUAAUAAGGAGUAUGCUGAUUGUUUCUCAGCUCCUACUUCCCUCCCUCACACUAUUAGAAAAUAAAUGAAUGGUUAAAUCUUUCUCUGAAUCAAUCAUGCAAUUUCCUGAGCACAGGAGCUUUACAAUUUGCAGUAUGCUUUUACCUGUAGUAUCUCACUUUAUUCUCAUACUUUCCCUGUAAAGCAUAACAAUUUGCAGUUAUUACCCACAUUGUACCGUAUCUGAGGGUCUGAGGAGUGACCUGAAUUGUUCAAGUCACUCGGCCUGUAAAAUUUGAACUAUGACCGAUUAAAAAACAUUUUUUCACUAUAAUUAAUGUCCUUUUAAUCUACCCACAAAUUUUCAGUAAAAUUAUUUUCCUAUGUUGUUGUUACCAAUACAGAAGAAAAAACAAAAAACCAAAAUUUUUCUAUGUUUCUUCUGCAUUCCCCUCUUUUAAUUACAUUCAUACACACUUUCACAUCUCUCCCUUUUCUUCCCUUCCAGAGCAAUUUGUUUUGUAGCUAUCCCUUAAUUAAUGCCCGUUCUUCACCCAUUGGUAUAAAGGGCAGGAAUGAAAUAUCAAAACUUGCUUUGUAAUUGUAGAUUCACUCCUGCCGCGAGGCUGAAUGAAAGGAAUAAAAUUUCAAUUAAGCAAUUACGGAGGAGUGCCGCUGAAAGCCUCAGGGGUGCAACUGUUCCUCUCCAUGAUUUUUGCAGCCCUCAUUGACCAUAUGUUGAAUUUCCAUUUUCCAUGGUUUCCUCUCAGGCGGAAAUCUCCACAUAUUGACAUGUGUGUAAUGGAGGAGCACCACGUGAGGCCCAGUUUUGUAUUUAUCCAAGCCCACUUGCUUCAAUGUCUGUGACAAGAGUAGAAUGGGUACCAGCAAGAGGCCGGACAUUUUCGAUGCCCUGUCAAAGCCUGGCUGUUCUUGGUCCUGUGAUGAUAUGGAAAUGGUUCCCUUCUUAUUGUGCAAGCCAAGCUCACAUGUGGAUUAGCCCUUUGAACACCAAGUCCAUUUCUUUGCUUUCAUUGUUUAGUACUUGUAAGCCAGAACCUGCAUAAAGAGUAGGCAUUCCCGUUUCCAACCACGUAGACUGACUUCAGAAAGCCUAAGAGAGGCGAGCUCAUAGAGUCACGUUGUCUCCAAGAUACCAAAGAAGCCAAGUUUGAUUGUGUUUUCCUGUCUUUCAACUCAUAGACUUAAGGUUCCUGCGACUUGUGAGCACAAACUAUCACUCUAUAGAUACUCAAGGCACUUGGAAUCAGUCACCACAUGUCUACCCACUGGAAUUAAUUUGGAGUAACAACAUGUUCUGUGGAUAUUUCUUAGUUGCUUUUUUUUUUCAGUGCCUUUGCUCUGAGAUUAUAAAGCACAUAUUUAAAAAAUUAUAAUAGUUCUAAAUGUGAAAAUAAUGCUUUAAUACUAAUGUAAUAUACUAGUACUACUAAUAUGCUACAUUUACAUUACAAUUCAAAUUUGUCAUGUCAUUAUUGUUUCUUUGCAUUGCUGACCUUGAUGUUAAGAAACAGAAACACGUGGAAGCAGUAGUGAUCUUUUGUAUCAUUAUUUUAUGAAAGGGGAUCUAGGAUUCUGAAGCAGAAGUAUUCAGGAGUUUGUUUUUAAAUGUUAAUACCAUUGUCAAUAUACUCUAGAACUUAAAAAAUGUUACAAAGAGUGCUGAAGAAAGAACUUUAUUUUUUAAAAAACAUGAAAAAUAAAAAGGAAUAUUCAUUGAAUCUUCUCCAGUCCCUAUCCCUGAUACCUGAGCCUGCAGAAGUGAACACAGACCACACUAUCCUUUGCAAACAGGGUUUCGAGGGCUCCCUGUAGGACCAAGCCCAGUGUCCUCACUGGUGCAUUCCAAACUGUAAGGGUCUGAUCCAUGCUUUGUGUAACUUCUCUAUUUCCACUGUCUCACUUAAGUUCCAGUAAUAACAUUUUACUGAAUUUUCCUGAAUAGUUUUAAGCCUUUACAUAAUUUUCCUAAAUUGCUUCAGCCUACAAUGAUCUUCCUUUCUUAUGGAUUGAAUUGUGUUCCCCCCAAAAGAUAUGUUGAAGUUAUAACCCCCAGUAUCUCAGAAUGUGACCUUAUUUUGAAAUAAGGUUAAUGUAGAUGUGAUUAGUUAGGGUAGGUGGCCACUAAUACAGCAUGACUUGUGUGCUUACUCAUAAGACAAUGGCCAUAUGAAGAUUCAAACACACAGGGAGAAGUGAUGUAUCUGCAAUGACUGCCAACCAUCACCAAAAGCCAGGUGAGAGGCAUGGAGCAGAUUGUCCCUCAUGAAAAAACCCUUAGAAAAAACCAACCCUAUAGACACUUUGAUUGUGGACUUCCAGCUUCCAGAAAUAUGAGAGAAUACAUUUUUGGUGUUUUAAGCUA